AUAUAUGAAUUAGAAAUAUGAGGAAAUAAGAAGUCUAUAUCCACAUAUAUUUGCUAUCCACAGGUUGAGAGCGGCAAAUCUGCUCCCUCCUCCACAGCUCCGCCCCUCAAGGCUUGGAUUUCGAUGGCUCCGAGAAGCAAGUGUACGUCACAUCAAUUCUGAAGAUGAGGACAAGUUGACCAGGUUUGACGUACGCCUUACUCACCGCCUAGCUUGAAACCAAUUGUUCAUACUUCAUAGAUGAUAACAAGCUAGGGUUUCCAUGAGUUCCAUCAUUAGGUACGUAUAAAUCUUCAGAGGUUUCCUCAGUUUAAUUUCUGUUAUAUAUCAUGAACAAUCAGCAACAUUAACUAAUGUGUUUUUGAUCGUGUAGCUCCUCCACCUGCCGCCGCAACGUCAUCUCUGGCAACGCCAGAGCCGAAGAGAGUCGGCUAGACGCCUAGACACCAUUCUUGCAGAAGAGAUCGAGGAAAAAUUGUUUUGUCUAAUACUGGCUUCAUUGAUAAAUUAGCUAGAAAGUUUAAGAUCGUUAGUAACGCAAGCUUAUCAACUGAGUUUUCGAUUCACGAGCAACCGAGCAAAUACAAUCGAUCCUUCAAAAUGUGUAUUCUUUUUCUUGUGUUGUUUACAUUACAAAACAACAACAUACAUGACUAGCUUGGAAGAGAAACUGGAUAUCAUGAAAGUGCUCCUAUAUUUCAUUUAUAUAAACAU
rnacentral:lncRNA from 1 species